rnacentral:misc_RNA from 1 species
UAAUAAGUGUUUUAUGGCACUUUUUAAAUCCAUAUCCACCUUGUGUGCAAUGUCGGUCGAUCUUCUUCAUGGAGAUCGACCAAACAUCAACCUUUAUCUUUUAACUCUUUGUCUGAAAAAUAUUAUGAAUAAACAAUUCAAAAUACAACUUUCAACAACGGAUCUCUUGGCUCUCGCAUCGAUGAAGAACGCAGCGGAAUGCGAUACGUAAUGUGAAUUGCAGAAUUCAGUGAAUCAUCGAAUCUUUGAACGCAUAUUGCGCUCUUUGGUAUUCCGAAGAGCAUGCUUGUUUGAGUACCAGUAAACACCUCAAAGCUUUUGGAUUUUUUAAUCGAAAAGCUUUGGACUUGAGCAAUCCCAACACCAAUCUUUUUGAGAUCGGUGGCGGGUUGCUUGAAAUGCAGGUGCAGCUGGACAUUCUCCUGAGCUAAAAGCAUAUUCAUUUAGUCCCGUCAAACGGAUUAUUACUUUUGCUGCAGCUAACAUAAAGGGAGUUUGACCGUAUUGGCUGACUGAUGCAGGAUUUCACAAGGGUCGGCAACGAUUCUUGUUAAACUCGAUCUCAAAUCAAGUAAGACUACCCGCUGAACUUAAGCAUAUCAAUAAGCGGAGGAAUCGUACGCUUGGUCAUUUAGAGGAAGUAAAAGUCGUAACAAGGUUUCCGUAGGUGAACCUGCGGAAGGAUCAUUAAAAGAUAUAGCAUAUUCUUCUGAAUAUACUUUAUUAACCCAUUCCGAGUACCUUACCCGUUGCUUCCGCGAGGCUGUCCUCACGGCCCUCUGAAGAUUUAUCUUUGGGGAGUCCUUGCGGAAGGUAUACAAUAAACUCUUGCAUUACCAUGUCAUCUGUCUGAAUCUGUUUAAAACAAAUAUUA